rnacentral:rRNA from 1 species
UACGAAGGGGGCUAGCGUUGUUCGGAAUUACUGGGCGUAAAGCGCGUUCAGGCGGUUUGGCAAGUCGGGCAUGAAAUCUCUCGGCUCAACCGGGAGAGGUUGUCCGAUACUUCCAGACUUGAGGGCAGUAGAGGGUGGUGGAAUUCCGGGUGUAGUGGUGAAAUGCGUAGAUAUCCGGAGGAACACCAGUGGCGAAAGCGGCCACCUGGACUGCACCUGACGCUGACACGCGAAAGCUAGGGGAGCGAACGGG